rnacentral:rRNA from 1 species
GAUGAACGCUGGCGGCGUGCUUAACACAUGCAAGUCGAGCGAGAAGUUUUGAAAAGAUUCUUCGGAUGAAAUUUAAAAUGGAAAGCGGCGGACGGGUGAGUAACGCGUAGGCAACCUGCCCCAUACAAAGGGAUAGCAUUUGGAAACGAAUAUUAAUACCUUAUGAAACUUAACUAGUGCAUGCUAGGUAGGUCAAAGAUUUAUCGGUAUGGGAUGGGCCUGCGUCUGAUUAGCUAGUUGGUGAGGUAACGGCUCACCAAGGCGACGAUCAGUAGCCGACCUGAGAGGGUGAACGGCCACAUUGGAACUGAGACACGGUCCAAACUCCUACGGGAGGCAGCAGUGGGGAAUAUUGCACAAUGGGGGAAACCCUGAUGCAGCAACGCCGCGUGAACGAUGAAGGCCUUUGGGUCGUAAAGUUCUGUUCUAGGUGAUGAAAACUGACAGUAACCUAGGAGAAAGCCCCGGCUAACUCCGUGCCAGCAGCCGCGGUAAUACGGAGGGGGCAAGCGUUAUCCGGAAUUAUUGGGCGUAAAGGGUACGUAGGUGGCCUUUUAAGCGUAGGGUAUAAGGCAAUGGCUCAACCAUUGUUCGCCCUAUGAACUGGAAGGCUUGAGUGCAGGAGAGGAAAGCGGAAUUCCUAGUGUAGCGGUGGAAUGCAUAGAUAGUAGGAGGAACAUCAGCGGCGAAGGCGGCUUUCUGGACUGCAACUGACACUGAGGUACGAAAGCGUGGGGAGCAAACAGG